ACUCCUACGGGAGGCAGCAGUGGGGAAUAUUGCACAAUGGGCGCAAGCCUGAUGCAGCCAUGCCGCGUGUAUGAAGAAGGCCUUCGGGUUGUAAAGUACUUUCAGCAGUGAGGAAGGUGGGUAUGUUAAUAGCAUAUUCAUUUGACGUUAGCUGCAGAAGAAGCACCGGCUAACUCCGUGCCAGCAGCCGCGGUAAUACGGAGGGUGCGAGCGUUAAUCGGAAUUACUGGGCGUAAAGCGCAUGCAGGUGGUUUGUUAAGUCAGAUGUGAAAGCCCGGGGCUCAACCUCGGAAUUGCAUUUGAAACUGGCAAACUAGAGUACUGUAGAGGGGGGUAGAAUUUCAGGUGUAGCGGUGAAAUGCGUAGAGAUCUGAAGGAAUACCGGUGGCGAAGGCGGCCCCCUGGACAGAUACUGACACUCAGAUGCGAAAAGCGUGGGGAGCAAACAGGAUUAGAUACCCUGGUAGCGUAG
rnacentral:rRNA from 1 species